UAAUCGCCUUAGUCUCGAUACUCGAUGCAAUAAUCGUUAAUUAUCCAUCGAUUGAACAGAAAUUCAGGUUGAAAACCGUGUAGGAAAUUCGUUUGGUGUCCAGUCUUUGUUCCACGGUCCCAAAAUCGUCCAAAUGUUUCGCAGAAAAGGCUGUGAUCGAUGAACGUUCCGUAGGAUUGGAGAGAGAAGUAUAUCUGUCUUUGUCGCGCAAUACGGUGCUCCUUGUCGCACUAACAGCCGCUGGUACCUUCUUGUACGUUCUACGUUCCUGUUAACGUUUCUCAAUUUUCAGCGACUGCAGUCUCAGUAGCGUAUUUAUCGCUUUGCCUACCCGAUGCAUAACCUAACCUAUACUUAUGCUCGAUUACGAUCGAUUUCAAUUAAUUCAUAUUUUGUUGCUUCUAUUAAUUUAUAUCGACGAUUUAUUCGAUUAAACGUGAACCAGUUGUAGCUACCUUUGAAGGUUAAUUGGCAGUUACUACCAACAGUGACAAGUUAAACAAUCGUAAACAAUCGUAUCACACGAAUUUAUACGAUAUUUCAUUAGAAUAGCAAGUCAUUAUUUCUUCACAAACAUCUAGGAAAUUUAUUUAUAGUGAGUGGAGCCGAUCAUAGUACAACUGGAUAGAAAAUAAGUCGAAGAUAUAGAAUAAAAUUUUGUCGUACGAAACAAACGUUAUAGACUGUAGCAGAGAAAAAUAUUUGACGGUAUUUGGCAAGCUUGUUCUAUGUACAAACGUAGAUUCGCAAGCAGGUCGAGAGAUUGCAACUGACGUGGGUCGUGACGUGGAUCGACGAACAGGAAAAUAAUUGGAAAAGCGUGGCCGCGUAUUCUCGUAACUUGCUCGUGCGUACGAGACGAACACGUGACCCUUUAUGUUAAUACGUCUACGAUGAUAAAGAAACUUCUGGUCGUUAAUUUAGUGGCGCGAUACGCAUAGUUCGGCCGAACAUGACCAUGUCGAAUCGUAAAUCUUGUUAGCCAGUCGUAGCGAAAUUCCAAGCGUAUGAAUAUUUAAUUUCGCGUACGUUCAUUGCAACGGAAGCAAUCUGUAGCUACGAUGCUUCUGUUGCUUAGGCGAACGCAGGAGAAACGAACGGAGAAUAGAAUGGAAUUCACAGGCAAAACUGAUUUUUACGGUUGCACUUGUUUUAACAUAUGUGCGAGGAUGAAAAACAGUAGUAGAAACUAUAGGAAGAACGUUCUAAGGUUCUUUCUAAACUCUGUACGCUUAAUUGAAUUCUGAAACUUCUCUAAUUAAUUACAAUCAAUUGUAAUUUCGAGUAAUAAUUAAUUAAUAAUCAAUAAGAAGAA